GGGUAAAAGCUUUUCCACACAGAUAAAGAAAUUUUCCCAUUCAUGCAAGUAUUGAUGUAAAUCUUACUGAAAGAUGAAUACAAGGAAAGAGUGACCCAACAUAUAUCAGGUUUGGUUUUGCUAUGUCUUAGACACCUGCUGCUAUACAACAAGUACAAAAUAUUUGGUAAAACAUGUAUUUCAAAGAAUAAUAGAAAUUACAAGUUUUCAUCUAGCCCACAGCUUCUUAAAUAUUUUAAACUUGAAUCUUAUAUAUGGAAGCAUGGCUCCAGGCUCCUAUGACACCAUUGAUGAAAUUAGUAAGUCAGUCCACACUUCUGACUUGAGGGAACCAUAAAAACCCAUCUAUCAGAGAUGGCAGGCAAUGA